rnacentral:rRNA from 1 species
UACGGGGGGAGCAAACGUUGUUCGGAAUUACUGGGCGUAAAGGGCUUGUAGGCGGCCAACUAAGUCAGACGUGAAAUCCCCUCGGCUUAACCGGGGAACUGCGUCUGAUACUGGAUGGCUAGAGAUUGGGAGAGGGAUGCGGAAUUCCAGGUGUAGCGGUGAAAUGCGUAGAUAUCUGGAGGAACACCGGUGGCGAAGGCGGCAUCCUGGACCAACACUGACGCUGAGGAGCGAAAAGUGUGGGGGAGCAAACAGG